UCUGCCUAUAGAGGCCUGGGGUCCCUUUGGCAGCACUUUUCUCAAGAAAGUAGAGUCGUGGACAACCAACUGCACAGGUUGGGAGGCUUUGAAGAACAAGCUGCCAUGAAUCCUGCAGCUACAAGGAAAUGAACUCUAUUAACUUGAGUGAGCUUAAAACUAGAUCCUUCCCCAGUCAAGCCUCCAGGUGAGAAUUCAAUCCUGGCUGGCACCUGGAUUGCAGCUUACAGAAGACCCAGCUAAGGCCAUGUCUGGACUUUAAAUCCACAGGAACUGCAAGAUGGUAUCAGAAGUGGGACCUGCAGUGGGGCAUCUAGCAACCCCCAGGAGCAUUGAGUGACCAGGCUUGGGACCCACCGGGCGCAGGGUGUCCAUUGUUCUCUCGAAGCAACUGAGAAUUGUGGAUAUUCUUCAUUAUUCCAUCAUCAUCUCAAACCUCUUGGGUAUAGUGUUUGACUACUACUGUGACCAUAAAUUCCAAUAAAACCUAGGAAAAAUGAAACCACUACAUUAACUGAAAGGAUGUGCCUGUCACAGUCUCCACCAGAAGCUUUAUCUUACUACAGAGUCCAGAUGCAUUAAGGCUGUGUUCGAGCCAUGAUCUUCCUCUGAAGAAGAAAUGAAGAAGAAAUUUAUCUUAUUUUUGGAUAUAGUGUUCUUAGUUGGCAGUUUAAUUAUUAUUUUUACUUCAUCACUUUGUAUACGUCAUCGCACUUUCUCCUGGCCUAUAAGAUCUCUCCUGAGAAAUUUUACGUUCUACUUUACUGGA
rnacentral:lncRNA from 1 species